GGGGGUGUAGCACAGAUGGUUAGCGCGAUGGCCUGUCAAGCCAUAGGCCGCGGGUUCAAGUCCCGUCACUCCCG
rfam:Monoraphidium neglectum strain SAG 48.87 mitochondrion, whole genome shotgun sequence.